rnacentral:rRNA from 1 species
UACGUAGGGGGCUAGCGUUGUCCGGAAUCAUUGGGCGUAAAGCGCGCGUAGGCGGCCAGAUAAGUCCGGUGUGAAAGUCAAAGGCUCAACCUUUGAAUGCCGCUGGAAACUGUCUGGCUCGAGUCCGGGAGGGGCGAGUGGAAUUCCUGGUGUAGCGGUGAAAUGCGCAGAUAUCAGGAGGAACACCGAUGGCGAAAGCGGCGCGCUGGACCUCUUCUGACGCUGAGGCGCGAAAGCUAGGGGAGCAAACGGG